rnacentral:lncRNA from 1 species
CCAGUGCUGGCUUGACGCCUUGCCAAGGGUGGAGGCAAGGCGCAGAUGAAAUCCCGCAUCUGGCAGCUGCUCAGGACACCACUACCAGGGAGUUUUGUGCUAAAGCCAGAGCUUGGAUGGCCAAGUGGAGCCACGCAGCUCCCCACAGGCAGGGUGGCAGCUGGGGCAGCUCACACCAGUGGCAGGACCCCGCCAGAGAGGCUUGUUGCUCUGUUUUCGAAGACGGAUUUUGAAGAAUUCAAAGACGGCCUGAAAGUUGUUCUCCUUCCUGGUGCAGCCAGCCCUGCAGUCAUGAUGAACCUGCUUGGAUGCUCAAGAAUCCACCCAGCAGACCCUUUGCAGCACAUUACAAGGGAAUCUGUCAAUUUUUAGAUGCAUCUGGUCUUUGUGAUUUGUUUACCUAUCCAGGUAUCAAUCUGAAAUUAGAACAUGAUCAGAGAGAUGCUUGAUGAUAGAUUACUUCCACAUCAGAGCUGCUGGGGUCUCUGCCUGUCUAGAUGAAUCCUGCAGGGGUACCUUCUGUGUACAUUUGGGAUACUCUCAUAGCUGCAAGGAUGGAAAGGAAAUCCCAAAGUCCCUCUGAACUGAGACAUUCUGGCACUGUAGAUCUGUCUGCUCUCUUUUGAUACCAUUUUUCCUGGAGUUGUGUUGACUUCUGAAGACCAUAGUGAGGUGGGCCAGAUUGCUCUGGGGUAAUUGCAAAUAUUUUAGAGGAUGAAAUCACUCCCAUUAAUGUGAGAUUAUACAGGAACCAUCUUGUCAAGCUAUAUAUCUGUAGUAUGGGCAGAUGGACUUCCUCUUGCUCGUGAAUAUUCAGAGAGAGAUAGGCCUUUGCCGAGUGCAGUGAUGGAGAUGGUAGGAAUAACUGGAUGUGACGCACGGUUGAUAAUGCACAGAUGGCAUUUGACAGUGUAAAUGAGUGAGCUGAUGGGCUUCACUGGAGCCUUCAGACAAGGUGGAGAUGGAAUCUGCAUAGCCCUGGAAUUUGAACAACCUGGAAGUUAUUCACUAAAGGACUCUCACCAUACGUGGUCAAAUGUUACAUGAGGGUCCAGGGCAGCUGUAGCUGCUUGUUUCCUCUUUCCAAGCUCUCCAGGACCUUUUCACUCUGUUUGGCAUUGUGGUCCCUGAAAUCUAGCCCCUCUGUUGCCAUGUGCUGCAGGAGGUCUGGAUGACGAUCCACCAAGAUGUGUUUUCUUCCUGGACUCCUGUCCUCCCAUUCAAUUCCUCCACAAAAUUCUUCCUUUGGGCUUCCUGCUCAGGCAGUUGACGGUGGCUCCUGGACUAGCGCCCUGAGUUAGCAGGACCACAGCUGCCUUGUUCUGUGGCCCUUUUGCAGCUCACUUCUCCACCACAUCACGGAACUUUCCAA